UGCCGAGUGGACGACUUGGAAAGUCGCUGUGACUCUGAAUCACAGAGAUGUUGGUUCGACCCCAACCUCGGCAACCA
rnacentral:tRNA from 3 species